AUUGAACGCUGGCGGCAGGCCUAACACAUGCAAGUCGAACGAGUGGCGGACGGGUGAGUAAUGUCUGGGAAACUGCCUGAUGGAGGGGGAUAACUACUGGAAACGGUAGCUAAUACCGCAUACCAUCAGAUGUGGCCAGAUGGGAUUAGCUUGUUGGUGGGGUAACGGCGAACCAAGGCGAAGAUCCAUAGCUGGUCUGAGAGGAUGACCAGCCCAACUGGACAUGAGAAACGGUCCAGACUCCGACGUGAGGCAGCCGUGGGGAAUAUUUCACAAUGGGCGCAAGCCUGAUGCAGCCAUGCCGCGUGUAUGAAGACGGCUUUCGGGUUGUAAAGUACUUUCAGCGGGGAUGCGUUACCCGCAGAAGAAGCACCGGCUAACUCCGUGCCAGCAGCCGCGGUAAUAC
rnacentral:rRNA from 1 species